GGGGAGACCGGUCCUCUCCAAGGUUUCUCAUAGUCAUUCACCGACGUCCCACUGGGAUUACUGCCUAUAACCGACGCACUUUUGAGACGGCACGGCACAACUUGGUCAUAAACGUCAUGGCCACUGAGGAGUUCCCGCUGCCCUACCAGGCCGAGUUUUACAUAAAAAACAUGAACGUUGAGGAGAUGCUGGCCAGUGAGGUGCUGGGGGACUUCCUGGGGGCUGUGAAGAACGUAUGGCAGCCUGAGCGCCUCAACGCCAUCAACAUCACCUCAGCAUUGGACCGCGGUGGGCGUGUGCCGUUGCCCAUUAAUAACCUCAA